GACGAACGCUGGCGGCGUGCUUAACACAUGCAAGUCGAACGGUAAGGCCCUUCGGGGUACACGAGUGGCGAACGGGUGAGUAACACGUGGGUGAUCUGCCCUGCACUUCGGGAUAAGCCUGGGAAACUGGGUCUAAUACCGGAUAGGAUCACUGCCUGCAUGGGUGGUGGUGGAAAACUUUUGCGGUGUGGGAUGGGCCCGCGGCCUAUCAGCUUGUUGGUGGGGUGAUGGCCUACCAAGGCGACGACGGGUAGCCGGCCUGAGAGGGUGACCGGCCACACUGGGACUGAGAUACGGCCCAGACUCCUACGGGAGGCAGCAGUGGGGAAUAUUGCACAAUGGGCGCAAGCCUGAUGCAGCGACGCCGCGUGAGGGAUGACGGCCUUCGGGUUGUAAACCUCUUUCAGCACCGACGAAGCGCAAGUGACGGUAGGUGCAGAAGAAGGACCGGCCAACUACGUGCCAGCAGCCGCAGUAA
rnacentral:rRNA from 1 species